GUUCAAAUUUCUCCACAUCCUAGCCAACACCUGUUACUGAUUUUUUUAUUAUAGCUUCCCUAGAGAGUACACAGUACACAAAAAUACAUGGCAUUUGGAAAGCAAAAUCUUGAGUUAAUAGUUUUAUUCCCUGAAAAUGUAUUAAUAUAAUGAAAUUAAACUUACAUUGAUUCUUCUUUAGAUACCACCUUGGCCAGGUCUUCCUGCUCCUUCAUUUUAUCCGCAACCUUAGUAUCCCGAGUAGCUGGGACUACAGGCACGGGCCACCAAAUCCGGCUACUUUUUGUAUUUUUUGAAGAGAUGGGAUUUCACCAUUUUGCCCAGGCUGGUCUUGAACUCCGGGGCUCAAGUGAUCCACCUGCCUCGGCCUCCCAAAGUGCUGGGAUUACAGGCGUGAGUCACUACGCCUGGCCUAUUGUUUUUUUUUCCCCCCCAAAUAAUUUUGAUCUGCAAUUGGUUGAAUCCAUGGAUGCAGAACCCCUGGAUACAGAGGGCUGAGGAAAGUAAAGCUCAUAUAAGUUAAGGAAUGUGGCCAAGGUCACACAGCCAAUACAUGGCAAGGCCAGGAUUCAAACCCUGCACCUGCCUCCAGAGCUGGUGCUCCGCAAUGCUUCGCUGUAUCUGAAAACU
rnacentral:lncRNA from 1 species